UAGCAACAGGCCAGAAACAUUUCAGCACUUGGUAAUAAGUAUGCAGGUAUGAAGGGCCUGCCAUCAGCUGUCAGCCUGGCAUGGAGUCCGUGCCUCCAAACCUUCCGUGGCAUGGAGCUGAGUGCCAGCCUGUCGAGCCUGGUUUCUGAACCAUGAACAAGUAGUACAUGGGGUUUUGCCAGCUAUGUCACUACAGACAGAGGCAGGAUUCACUGAGGUCAGACAGAGGUCAUAGAUCUAGACAUUCCCAGACUGGCAGGCUAUGAAAUGCCUUUGUGGACACACACACACACACACACACACACACACACACACACACACACACGUGAGCCCAUUCAGUUAUUUCAUUUUAAAAUUGGGAAGAGCUCUAUUGCUGCUCCCAUUCCUCCUUGGAAAGCUAAUUCCUGCGUCUCCCCUGCUCCCUGUGGUAGAGCAGCCACCCCAGGCUAUACCUCUCAGCUGUCUUCAAGACAAGACAGAUGGGUAUGAUCGUGAAUGUGGGAUAUGAGGCUAGUUACAGGAAGGUUCCCAGAGUCUAAUUCGGUAAAUUCAGUAUUAUGCAUAGACUGUUGGACGUUUAAAAAAAAUAAAAGUUACUUUACAAUAA
rnacentral:lncRNA from 1 species